ACUGAAGCAGACAAUCCCGCGUAUUAUGAAAAAAGUCCUUCGGGUUUAAAGUACUUUCAGUCGUGAGAAAGGUUCAUUACGUUAAUAGUGUUUUGAUUUGACGUUAGCGACCGAAAGAAGCACAGCUAACUCCGGCCAGCAACCGCGGUAAUACGGAGGGUGCGAAGAGUAAUCGGAAUACUGGGCGUAAAGCGCAUGCAGGUUGUUUGUUAAGUCAGAUGGUGAAAGCCCCGGGGCUCAACCUCGGGAAUUGCAUUUGAAACUGGCAUACUAGAGUACUGUAGAGGGGGGUAGAAUUUCAGGUGUAGCGGUGAAAUGCGUAGAGAUCUGAAAGGAAUACCGGUGGCGAAGGCGGCCCCCUGGACAGAUACUGACACUCAGAUGCGAAAGCGUGGGGAGCAAACAGGAUUAGAUACCCUGGUAGUCCACGCCGUAAACGAUGUCUACUUGGAGGUUGUGGCCUUGAGCCGUGGCUUUCGGAGCUAACGCGUUAAGUAGACCGCCUGGGGAGUACGGUCGCAAGAUUAAAACUCAAAUGAAUUGACGGGGGCCCGCACAAGCGGUGGAGCAUGUGGUUUAAUUCGAUGCAACGCGAAGAACCUUACCUACUCUUGACAUCCAGAGAAGCCAGUAGAGAUACAGGUGUGCCUUCGGGAGCUCUGAGACAGGUGCUGCAUGGCUGUCGUCAGCUCGUGUUGUGAAAUGUUGGGUUAAGUCCCGCAACGAGCGCAACCCUUAUCCUUGUUUGCCAGCGAGUAAUGUCGGGAACUCCAGGGAGACUGCCGGUGAUAAACCGGAGGAAGGUGGGGACGACGUCAAGUCAUCAUGGCCCUUACGAGUAGGGCUACACACGUGCUACAAUGGCGCAUACAGAGGGCAGCAAGCUAGCGAUAGUGAGCGAAUCCCAAAAAGUGCGUCGUAGUCCGGAUUGGAGUCUGCAACUCGACUCCAUGAAGUCGGAAUCGCUAGUAAUCGUGGAUCAGAAUGCCACGGUGAAUACGUUCCCGGGCCUUGUACACACCGCCCGUCACACCAUGGGAGUGGGCUGCAAAAGAAGUGGGUAGUUUAACCUUUCGGGGAGGACGCUCACACACUUGUUUUUCUGAGCCUAGGU
rnacentral:rRNA from 1 species